rnacentral:lncRNA from 1 species
AACUAUGCAAAAAUGGAAAACAAAGGUUUAGUUACUUACAAGCUUUAAACUUAUGGAUGUAAGGAAUGUGUACCUGAUUUAAGAUGGUGAUGAGCCCACAGUAGGCUUAUUUACUUGAAAACAUUUUAGUCAUCAUGUAUUUCCGGUUGCUAAAUGUGCUUGUGUUUAUAAAAUUCAAAACUCUAUUUACCAAGCCUUAACCAUAUCUCCAUGUUCUCACCGGAAGUGAUUUACACUGUAGUCUUUGUCUCUUUUACAAAUAUACAAUUUUAUGUUCACACUUGUUAUUUUGUAAUAUAAUUCCUAGGAGAUGUUUCAGAGUUCAAACUGCAAAUAUGCCCAUUUAAUAAUGAUUAUUGCAUCAUUAUCUUGCUUUAACUAUUUAAUCACUGGUAUUUUUAGUGGUAUUUUCUCACAGAAAUCUCUUCUUUUAACCAAUUUUUGUGACUGCUAUACGGUCAGAUAUUACUUUAUCUUUUAUCUUUUAUUGAAAACAAACCAUAUUUCCAGUUCCCAGGGUUAACACUCUUGGUUCUUUUCUUUUUAUUGUUAUUUAUAUGGAUUUAUCUAGAGUACCAAAAGAAAGUUAUAUUAAAAGAACAGUAUUAAAGAAUUGCCUAAAGCAUUAUUUUUGUACUUACAGUACAAUGUUUUAUAGAGCUGUAUGAUCUAACUAUAUUAAGUAAAAUUAUAUCAUUCUAUUAUUAGGAACAUGAUGAUUGCUUUAGAAAAUACAAAUAUACUGGUCACCUUAGAAUCAUACAUCAAAAUGAAAUGCGAAAUGACACAAUUUUGUGAGAUUUCAGGACGGUGAUAUGGGUUUAAUUAUGUUUUCAAGUUCCAUAAUAAAAUUUUAUCAACGUG